UACGAAGGGUGCAAGCGUUACUCGGAAUUACUGGGCGUAAAGCGUGCGUAGGCGGUUUGUUAAGUCCGCUGUGAAAGCCCUGGGCUCAACCUGGGAAUUGCAUUCGGGACUGAAUAGCUAGGGUACGGUAGAGGGAAGCGGAAUUUCCGGUGUAGCGGUGAAAUGCGUAGAGAUCGGGAGGAACAUCCAUGGCGAAGGCAGCUACCUGGACCAACACUGACACUGAGGCACGAAAGCGUGGGGAGCAAACAGG
rnacentral:rRNA from 1 species